rnacentral:tRNA from 2 species
UGGGGCGUCGCCAAGCGGUAAGGCACUGGACUCUGACUCCAGCAUUCGAGGGUUCGAAUCCUUCCGCCCCAGCCA